rnacentral:rRNA from 1 species
GUGCCAGCAGCCGCGGUAAUACGUAGGGCACAAGCGUUAUCCGGAUUUAUUGGGCGUAAAGAGCUCGUAGGCGGCUCGUCGCGUCCGGUGUGAAAGUCCAUCGCUUAACGGUGGAUGUGCGACCGGGUACGGGCGGGCUGGAGUGCGGUAGGGGAGUCUGGAAUUCCCGGUGUAACGGUGGAAUGUGUAGAUAUCGGGAAGAACACCGAUGGCGAAGGCAGGUCUCUGGGCCGUCACUGACGCUGAGGA